UCAAGUGACUAAGUGCAUGUGGUGGAUGCCUUGGCGAUUACAGGCGACGAAGGACGUGAUAGCCUGCGAUAAGCUUCGGGGAGCUGGCAAAUUAGCUUUGAUCCGGAGAUUUCCGAAUGGGGAAACCCACUCCGCAAGGAGUAACUCUGACUGAAUACAUAGGUCAUUGUGGCGAACCGGGUGAACUGAAACAUCUCAGUAGCUCGAGGAAAAGACAUCAACCGAGAUUCCGAAAGUAGUGGCGAGCGAAAUCGGAGUAGCCCUCGCGUUUUAGCAGUUUGUAUAUCAGAACGGAAUGGAAAGUCCGGCCACAGCGGGUGAUAGCCCCGUAUGAGAAAUGCAGAUUGUGGAACUAGGCGCGAAUAGAGUAGGGCGGGACACGUGAAAUCCUGUCUGAAUAUGGGGGGACCAUCCUCCAAGGCUAAAUACUCGUAAUCGACCGAUAGUGAACAAGUACCGUGAGGGAAAGGCGAAAAGAACCCCGGGAGGGGAGUGAAAUAGAUCCUGAAACCGCAUGCAUACAAAAAGUCGGAGCCCGCAAGGGUGACGGCGUACCUUUUGUAUAAUGGGUCAGCGACUUACAUUCAGUGGCGAGGUUAACCGAAUAGGGAAGCCGUAGAGAAAUCGAGUCCGAAUAGGGCGAAUAGUCGCUGGGUGUAGACCCGAAACCAAGUGAUCUAUCCAUGGCCAGGAUGAAGGUACCGUAACAGGUGCUGGAGGUCCGAACCGACUAGUGUUGCAAAACUAGCGGAUGAGCUGUGGAUAGGGGUGAAAGGCUAAACAAACUUGGAAAUAGCUGGUUCUCUCCGAAAACUAUUUAGGUAGUGCCUCAAGUAUUACCUGCGGGGGUAGAGCACUGUUUAGGCUAGGGGGUCAUGGCGACUUACCAAACCUAUGCAAACUCCGAAUACCGCAGAGUACAGCUUGGGAGACAGAGCACCGGGUGCUAACGUCCGGACUCAAGAGGGAAACAACCCAGACCGCCAGCUAAGGUCCCUAAAAUUGGCUAAGUGGGAAACGAAGUGGGAAGGCUAAAACAGUCAGGAUGUUGGCUUAGAAGCAGCCAUCAUUUAAAGAAAGCGUAAUAGCUCACUGAUCGAGUCGUCCUGCGCGGAAGAUGUAACGGGGCUAAGCCAGUUACCGAAGCUGCGGAUGCAUAGCAAUAUGCGUGGUAGGAGAGCGUUCUGUAAGCCUGUGAAGGUGGGUUGUGAAGCCUGCUGGAGGUAUCAGAAGUGCGAAUGCUGACAUGAGUAGCGUUAAAGGGGGUGAAAAGCCCCCUCGCCGAAAGCGCAAGGUUUCCUACGCAACGUUCAUCGGCGUAGGGUGAGUCGGCCCCUAAGGCGAGGCAGAGAUGCGUAGCUGAUGGGAAACAGGUCAAUAUUCCUGUACCGAUCAAUAGUGCGAUGUGGGGACGGAGAAGGUUAGCUCAGCCAACUGUUGGAUAUGUUGGUUCAAGCCUGUAGUCGUGCCUGGUAGGCAAAUCCGCCGGGCUUAGAUGAGGGGUGAUAACGAGUCUGCUUGCAGACGAAGUGAGUGAUACCCUGCUUCCAGGAAAAGCCACUAAGCUUCAGCUAUUGACGACCGUACCGCAAACCGACACUGGUGCGCGAGAUGAGUAUUCUAAGGCGCUUGAGAGAACUCGGGAGAAGGAACUCGGCAAAUUGACACCGUAACUUCGGAAGAAGGUGUGCCUUUAGUAGGUGAACCUGUACAAGGGGAGCCCAAUGAGGCCGCAGAGAAUCGGUGGCUGCAACUGUUUAUUAAAAACACAGCACUCUGCAAAGACGAAAGUCGACGUAUAGGGUGUGACUCCUGCCCGGUGCUGGAAGAUUAAAUGAUGGGGUGCAAGCUCUUGAUUGAAGUCCCAGUAAACGGCGGCCGUAACUAUAACGGUCCUAAGGUAGCGAAAUUCCUUGUCGGGUAAGUUCCGACCUGCACGAAUGGCGUAACGAUGGCCACACUGUCUCCUCCAGAGACUCAGCGAAGUUGAAAUGUUUGUGAUGAUGCAAUCUCCCCGCGGAAAGACGGAAAGACCCCAUGAACCUUUACUGUAGCUUUACAUUGGACUUUGAACAGAUCUGUGUAGGAUAGGUGGGAGGCUUUGAAGUAAGGUCGCUAGAUCUUAUGGAGCCAACGUUGAAAUACCACCCUGGUGUGUUUGAGGUUCUAACCUUGUCCCGUUAUCCGGGAUGGGGACAGUGUAUGGUGGGCAGUUUGACUGGGGCGGUCUCCUCCCAAAGUGUAACGGAGGAGUUCGAAGGUACGCUAGUUACGGUCGGAAAUCGUGACGAUAGUGCAUUGGCAUAAGCGUGCUUGACUGCGAGACUGACAAGUCGAGCAGGUACGAAAGUAGGACAAUGACGGCCCGUCUAACCUUGGCCCGUGAUCCGGGUCGGGGACAGUGCAUGGUAGGCAGUUUGACUGGGGCGGUCUCCUCCCAAAGUGUAACGGAGGAGUACGAAGGUACGCUAGGUACGGUCGGAAAUCGUGCUGAUAGUGCAAUGGCAUAAGCGUGCUUAACUGCGAGACCGACAAGUCGAGCAGGUGCGAAAGCAGGUCAUAGUGAUCCGGUGGUUCUGUAUGGAAGGGCCAUCGCUCAACGGAUAAAAGGUACUCUGGGGAUAACAGGCUGAU
rnacentral:rRNA from 1 species